UAUUUAUAAGUUAUUGAAAUAUUAUAAUUACCUCAUUUCAGACAGAAGUACAAGCGAACAGAUGACACAUUAAAGUGACUGCAGAAGCUUGAAAAGUUAGAUAGAGCAGGGACAGUCAAAACUGUGGGAUAAUACGUCUAUGUAUUUUCUUUUUAAAGGCAACUUAUACAGGAUGGAAGGGGUGUCCAGCAUGUCUAGUCAGGUUGACAGAAGUGAAAGAUGGUCUGAUGGUACAAUGAUGUACAAAUGAUACUCUUUAACAACUUUAACAUGUCAAAGUGUAAAAUGUUCUGUGGAUUCAUAUGAUGAGAAUGCCAAUGUUGAUCUGUAUGACUUAAUUAAACACAGAUAUUUAUACCUUCAGAUAUAUACCUGUGAAAUCUUCAGUGUCACCGUUCAGCUAUUGUUCAAGAUCAGUGUCUGCAGCUUGCACAGUUUAGUAUAGAAGAGCCUUUUGAAUCAAUUUUGUUACAUAUUUGCUGUUAUUGUAGGACGCAUAUGUAGAGAGUAACAAGUCCUGUCCAACUGUGCAUGUAAAUGUGAUUCAGAAACUUUGAGAAUAUGUAAACAUUACACUGUUAUAAUUUACAAAAUACUGUGUCUUGUAGUGUAUCAGUACUGUUUUGUCUCAGUUUAUAGCACAGUAUGUUCACA
rnacentral:lncRNA from 1 species